rnacentral:rRNA from 1 species
AACGAACGCUGGCGGCAUGCCUAACACAUGCAAGUCGAACGAGACCUUCGGGUCUAGUGGCGCACGGGUUCGUAACGCGUGGGAACCUGCCCUUAGGUUCGGAAUAACUCCCCGAAAGGGGUGCUAAUACCGGAUAAUGUCUUCGGACCAAAGAUUUAUCGCCUUUGGAUGGGCCCGCGUUGGAUUAGCUAGUUGGUAGGGUAAAAGCCUACCAAGGCGACGAUCCAUAGCUGGUCUGAGAGGAUGAUCAGCCACACUGGGACUGAGACACGGCCCAGACUCCUACGGGAGGCAGCAGUGGGGAAUAUUGGACAAGGGGCGAAAGCCUGAUCCAGCAAUGCCGCGUGAGUGAUGAAGGCCUUAGGGUUGUAAAGCUCUUUUACCCGGGAUGAUAAUGACAGUACCGGGAGAAUAAGCACCGGCUAACUCCGUG